rnacentral:rRNA from 1 species
GGUUAAGCGACUAAGCGUACACGGUGGAUGCCCUGGCAGUCAGAGGCGAUGAAGGACGUGCUAAUCUGCGAUAAGCGCCGGUAAGGUGAUAUGAACCGUUAUAACCGACGAUUUCCGAAUGGGGAAACCCAGUGUGACUCGUCACACUAUCAUUAACUGAAUCCAUAGGUUAAUGAGGCGAACCGGGGGAACUGAAACAUCUAAGUACCCCGAGGAAAAGAAAUCAACCGAGAUUCCCCCAGUAGCGGCGAGCGAACGGGGAGGAGCCCAGAGCCUGAAUCAGCAUGUGUGUUAGUGGAAGCGUCUGGAAAGGCGCGCGAUACAGGGUGACAGCCCCGUACACAAAAGCGCAUGUGCUGUGAGCUCGAUGAGUAGGGCGGGACACGUGGUAUCCUGUCUGAAUAUGGGGGGACCAUCCUCCAAGGCUAAAUACUCCUGACUGACCGAUAGUGAACCAGUACCGUGAGGGAAAGGCGAAAAGAACCCCGGCGAGGGGAGUGAAAAAGAACCUGAAACCGUGUACGUACAAGCAGUGGGAGCACCUUCGGGUGUGACUGCGUACCUUUUGUAUAAUGGGUCAGCGACUUAUAUUCUGUAGCAAGGUUAACCGAAUAGGGGAGCCGUAGGGAAACCGAGUCUUAACCGGGCGUUAAGUUGCAGGGUAUAGACCCGAAACCCGGUGAUCUAGCCAUGGGCAGGUUGAAGGUUGGGUAACACUAACUGGAGGACCGAACCGACUAAUGUUGAAAAAUUAGCGGAUGACCUGUGGCUGGGGGUGAAAGGCCAAUCAAACCGGGAGAUAGCUGGUUCUCCCCGAAAGCUAUUUAGGUAGCGCCUCGUGAAUUCAUCUCCGGGGGUAGAGCACUGUUUCGGCUAGGGGGCCAUCCCGGCUUACCAACCCGAUGCAAACUGCGAAUACCGGAGAAUGUUAUCACGGGAGACACACGGCGGGUGCUAACGUCCGUCGUGAAGAGGGAAACAACCCAGACCGCCAGCUAAGGUCCCAAAGUCAUGGUUAAGUGGGAAACGAUGUGGGAAGGC